CCUACGGGAGGCAGCAGUGAGGAAUAUUGGUCAAUGGCCGUAAGGCUGAACCAGCCAAGCCGCGUGAAGGAAGAAGGUCCUAUGGUUUGUAAACUUCUUUUAUAGGGGAAUAAAGGUAUUCACGUGUGGAUAUUUGCAUGUACCUUAUGAAUAAGCAUCGGCUAACUCCGUGCCAGCAGCCGCGGUAAUACGGAGGAUGCGAGCGUUAUCCGGAUUUAUUGGGUUUAACGGGUGCGUAGGUUGUUUUUUAAGUCAGCGGUGAAAGUUUGUGGCUCAACCCUAGAAUAGCCGUUGAAACUGGAAGACUGGAGUGUGUUAGAGGUAGGCGGAAUGCGUGGUGUAGCGGUGAAAUGCAUAGAUAUCACGCAGAACCCCGAUGGCGAAGGCAGCGUACU
rnacentral:rRNA from 1 species